GCCGACUUAGCUCAGUUGGCUAGAGCGCGUCACUAGUAAUGAUGAGGUCGGAGGUUCGAGUCCUCUAGUCGGCA
rnacentral:tRNA from 10 species